AUAUAGCUCAGUGGUAGAGCAUCUGCUUUGCAUGCAGAAUGUCCCGGGUUCAAACCAUGCCAUCUCCAGGUAGGACUG